UACGGGGGGGGCAAGCGUUGUUCGGAAUUACUGGGCGUAAAGGGCUCGUAGGUUGCCAACUAAGUCAGACGUGAAAUCCCUCGGCUUAACCGGGGAACUGCGUCUGAUACUGGAUGGCUUGAGUUUGGGAGAGGGAUGCGGAAUUCCAAGUGUAGCGGUGAAAUGCGUAGAUAUCUGGAGGAACACCGGUGGCGAAGGCGGCAUCCUGGACCAACACUGACACUGAGGAGCGAAAGCCAGGGGAGCAAACGGG
rnacentral:rRNA from 1 species